ensembl:lncRNA
GAAAGAAAGAAAGAAAGAAGAAAGAAAGAAAGAAAGAAAGAAAGAAAGAAAGAAAGAAAGGAAGAAAGAAAGAAAAAAGAGAAAGAAAAGAGAGAGGAAGGAAGGAAGAAAGAAAGAAAAGAAAGAAAGGAAGAAAGAAAAGAGAGAGAGAGAGAAAAGAGAGAGAAAAAAAGAGAGAGGAAGGAAGGAAGGAAGGAAGAAGGAAGGAAGGAAGGAAGGAAGGAAGGAAGGAAGGAAGGAAGAAAGAAAGAAAGGAAGAAAGAAAGAAAGAAAGAAGAAAAGAAGAAAGAAAGAAAGAAAGAGAAAGAAAGAAAAAAGAGAAAGAAAAAAGAGAAAGAAAGAAAGAAAAGAAAGAAAAGAAGGAAAGAAGAAAGAAAAAAGAGAAAGAAAAGAGAGAGAAAAAGAGAAAGAAAAAAGAGAGAGGAAGGAAGGAAGGAAGGAAGGAAGGAAGGAAGGAAGGAAGAAAGAAAGAAAAAAGAAAGAAAGAAAGAGAAAGAAAGAAAGAAAGAAAGGAAGAAAGGAAGAAAGAAAGAGAAAGAAAAGAGAGAGGAAGGGAGGAAAAAAGAAAAAAGAAAGAAAAAAGAAAGAAAGAAAAGAAGGAAAGAAAGAAAGAAAAGAGAGAGAAAAAAGAGAAAGAAAAAAGAGAAAGGAAAGAAGAGAAAGGAAUAAAGGAAGGAAGGAAGAAAAGAAAAGAGAGAGAGAGAGAAAAGAGAGAGAAAAAAAAGAGAGGAAGGAAGGAAGGAAGGAAGGAAGGAAGGAAGGAAGGAAGGAAGGAAGGAAGAAAGAAAGAAAAGAAAGAAAGAAAGAAAGAAAGAAAGAAAGAAAGAAAGAAAGAAAGAAAGAGGAGAGAAAAAGAAAGAAAAGAGAAAGAAAAGAGAGAGGAAGGGAGGAAAAAGAAAGAAGGAAAGAGAAAAAAAGAAAGAAAAAAGAGAGGAAGGGAGGAAGAAAGAAAAGAAAGAAGAAAGAAAGAAAGAAAGAAAAGAAGGAAAGAAGAAGAAAGAAAAGAGAGAGAAAAAAAAGAGAGAGGAAGGAAGGAAGGAAGAAGGAAGGAAGGAAGAAGGAAGGAAGGAAGGAAGGAAGGAAGGAAGGAAGAAAGAAAGAAAAAAGAGAAAGAAAGAAGAAAGAAAGAAAGAAAGAAGAAAGAAAAGAAAGAAAGAAAAGAAAAAAAAAGAGAGAGGAAGGGAGGAAAAGAAAGAAGGAAAGAGAAAGAAAGAAAGAAAGAAAGAGAGAAAGAAAGAAAGAAAGAAAGGAAGAAAGGAAGAAAGAAAGGAAGGGAGGAAAAAAGAAAGAAGGAAAGAAAGAAAGAAAGAAGAAAGAAAAAAGAGAGAAAGAAAAGAGAGAAAAGAGAGAGGAAGGGAGGAAAAAAGAAAAGGAAAGAGAAAGAAAGAAAGAAAGAAAGAAAGAAAGAAAGAAAGAAAAAGAAAAGAAAGAAAGAAAGAAAAGAAAAGAGAGAAAGAAAAAAGAGAGAGGAAGGGAGGAAGAAAGAAAGGGAGAGGAAGAAAGAAAGGAAGAAAGGAAGAAAGGAAGAAAGGAAGAAAGAAAGAAAGAAAGAAAGAAAGAAAGAAAGAAAGAGAAAGGGAAAGGAAGGAUGGGAAAGGAAGAAAGGAAGGAAGGGAGGAAGGAAGAAAGAAAAAGUGAAUGGUUGUUGCGGACAGGGACGUUGACACAUAGCCUUCCCAGCCAGUUGGGCAGGCAAGAGAUUGAAGGGGAAGCUGGUGGUCAAGCCAUCAUGAGGGAGCCCUCGGCCGGAAAGAGUGGACCAGUACUGCUGUGUGCUGGAACACCCUGGCAAAGAGGCUAAAGGAUUGUCCUGGAAAACUCGGGCAGAUCUUGGUUUUGCCUGCCCAGCAUCCCGCCAUUGCUCCGUUUUGGUGGAGUCGCCUUCCUCUUCCUCCUGGGCACACAACUAAACUCUCCCAUUCUAUCCCCGCCCCCACCCACCCUCUACGACCUACCCC